rnacentral:tRNA from 1 species
AGGAGUUUAGGUAAUUUGUUAUACCUUCUAAUUUGCAAUUAGGGAUAGUUUUAGAACAACUCUUA